UCAACAUGAGAGUUUGAUCCUGGCUCAGAACGAACGCUGGCGGCAGGCUUAACACAUGCAAGUCGAGCGCCCCGCAAGGGGAGCGGCAGACGGGUGAGUAACGCGUGGGAAUCUACCCUUGACUACGGAAUAACGCAGGGA
rnacentral:rRNA from 1 species